UAGGGAAUCUUCCGCAAUGGACGAAAGUCUGACGGAGCAACGCCGCGUGAGUGAUGAAGGUUUUCGGAUCGUAAAACUCUGUUGUCAGGGAAGAACAAGUACCGGAGUAACUGCCGGUACCUUGACGGUACCUGACCAGAAAGCCACGGCUAACUACGUGCCAGCAGCCGCGGUAAUACGUAGGUGGCAAGCGUUGUCCGGAAUUAUUGGGCGUAAAGCGCGCGCAGGCGGUUCUUUAAGUCUGAUGUGAAAGCCCCCGGCUCAACCGGGGAGGGUCAUUGGAAACUGGGGAACUUGAGUGCAGAAGAGAAGAGUGGAAUUCCACGUGUAGCGGUGAAAUGCGUAGAGAUGUGGAGGAACACCAGUGGCGAAGGCGACUCUUUGGUCUGUAACUGACGCUGAGGCGCGAAAGCGUGGGGAGCAAACAGG
rnacentral:rRNA from 1 species